rnacentral:antisense_RNA from 1 species
AGACCUAGAAAAAUACUGGAGCCACAGACUUUAUCUGAAUGUCUGAAAUGUCCUCUCUUCACACUGUGGGCAGCCUGAAGGCCAUCGGCUCCCAAGUUUUACGUCCUAGAGCUUCCACCAGUGCAAGGAAAUGGAAACUUCCAGUUCUAAAAAAAUCUGGGGAGGAGACCUUUUUUUUCCCUGAGCUUGUGGGAAAGUGCUUAACCACACACCAACCUUGAUAAAAAUGGCACCUCCCAAGGUAGCCACAAGAAGAGCAGGUAGGAACAGAGUUUCCAGGAGAAGAAGGGGUCAGGGGUAGGUGCCAAAAACCAACCCCGAAGCUGCAUGUUUACAGUUUAGACCAUCUCUGUGAAUUGCAUCCUUAUGUUCUGUAUUUUAAAAGGCCAUUUUCAGCUCCUACUUAGCUUCCACUCAGAAAUACCAUUCACAUCAGGUCUCUGUGCAUGCGUGUGGUUUUUUAAUCCACACAUUG